rnacentral:rRNA from 1 species
UACGUAGGCAGCGAGCGUUGUUCGGAGUUACUGGGCGUAAAGGGUGUGUAGGCGGUUUUUUAAGUUUGGUGUGAAAUCUCCCGGCUCAACCGGGAGGGUGCGCCGAAAACUGGGAGACUAGAGUGCGGGAUGGGAGAGUAGAAUUCCUGGUGUAGCGGUGAAAUGCGUAGAUAUCAGGAGGAAUACCGGUGGUGUAGCCGGCUCUCUGGACCGCCACUGACGCUGAGACACGAAAGCGUGGGUAGCAAACAGG